rnacentral:ncRNA from 1 species
CAGAGUAGGGUAAGAGCGUUAAGUGCUAUGGAAUGGGAAGUUGAUCAUAGACGAAGAGCGUGCAUGGCACGCCGCGGUUCUUGCCCGCAUCCGCUGU